GUAUUGGAGUUGGCAGGAAAUGCAGCUAGGGAUAACAAGAAGACGAGGAUUGUUCCAAGGCAUAUUCAAUUGGUGGUAAGGAACGAUGAAGAUUUGAGCAAGUUUCUUGGCGCUGUUACAAUAGCCAACGGUAGUGUGAUGCCUAACAUUCACAAUCUCUUGUUGCCGAAGAAGACUGGUACCGUUCGUCAAAGUGCGUUGCUGCCGAUAACGACAGUUAAAUAAUCUCUGUUUUUGAGCGGUAGAAGAUGAAA